rnacentral:sRNA from 1 species
CCUUUAUACAGACAUAAAUAUAGUGAACAUCAGGUUUUGGGCCAAGAAGACUAACAAUUGAUGUGCUAUCACCAUCUAAAGGCAGUGGCUUCGUCAGUUCCCAUGAAGGCUCCCGACUCCUUUCCCAUCUAUCUGGGAUGUCGAGACUUUACUGUCCAAAGCUGCAGGUCUUUAAGGAGACGCAAUCGAUAACUUGGGUCGCCAUAAGUGAUCUGCAACAUUGUGGGAUCCAAAUGCGUGAUUUACCUAUUGACCUCCUCUAGCAUCUGAGACGCAUUCUCUUGUGAAUUUUGGCCACACUGCAAUACAAACUAUGGUACCUUUGUCAAUAACAGCAUCGAAUGAACCUGACUCGAAUUCAGCCAUGUUCCUUACAUCCAUCUUCAUGUCUGUGUAAGGUGAGGCUUGUCACGAUAUUUCUUCUUCAUUUGAUCAAUCACCACUGAUGAUAUAUCUAUGUUGACGAUGUCUUGAUAACCAUCAUCAACCAUGUUUUCACCAAAAACUUUGCCGCAGCCGGCGAGGAGGAGGCGGUGGUGGCGGCGGACGUAGACGGCGAGCAGCGGCGCGAGGGCGGGGUACUUCUGGUACCAGUCGAACGGGCCGGCCUCCUUCCUGUACCGCUCGUCCCAGUACCACGCCUCCCCGUACGCCUGCGCCGCCGUGCCUCCUCCACCCCCUCCCCCUCCCGUCAUCCUCGGCGCCGCCGCGGAUCUGGCCG